GCAAACUUGGUCAUUUAGAGGAAGUAAAAGUCGUAACAAGGUUUCCGUAGGUGAACCUGCGGAAGGAUCAUUAACAGUGAGCCCUGCUCUUUAGCAGGGACUACACCUCUUAUGCUCUUAGCGAUCUCCUGGUCAGGUUUUUUUCCGAGCCAGUGUUAGUGUCCUUUGAAGUGUAAUGCGUCCACCCAUUGUGAAACUUAACCUAUGCUUCGGCAGCACUCUUAGCGGCCUCAAAAACUGCUAGAGGGGUAAGGCUGUCAGAAGCCCACUAUCAAACUAGUUGAUGAAAUGUCAUGCAGUCUGAUAACUACUAUUUGAGAAAUCAAAUUAUAUUAAAACUUUCAGCAACGGAUCUCUUGGUUCUCGCAUCGAUGAAGAACGCAGC
rnacentral:misc_RNA from 1 species